CCUACGGGUGGCAGCAGUGGGGAAUCUUGCACAAUGGGGGAAACCCUGACGCAGCGACGCCGCGUGAGUGAAGAAGUAAUUCGUUAUGUAAAGCUCUAUCAGUCGGGAAGAACAUGACCGUACUUGAGUAAGAAGCCCCGGCUAAUUACGUGCCAGCAGCCGCGGUCAUACGUAGGGGGCAAGCGUUCUCCGGAUGUACUGGGUGUAAAGGGAGCGGAGACGGCAGUGCAAGUCUGGAGUGAAAGGCGGGGGCUCAACCCCCGGACUGCUCUGGAAACUGGACGGCUGGAGUGCAGGAGAGGUAAGUGGAAUUCCUAGUGUAGCGGUGAAAUGCGUAGAUAUUAGGAGGAACACCAGUGGCGAAGGCGGCUUACUGGACUGUAACUGACGUUGAGGCUCGAAAGCGUGGGGAGCAAACAGGAUUAGAUACCCGUGUAGUC
rnacentral:rRNA from 1 species